rnacentral:misc_RNA from 1 species
AAGUCGUAACAAGGUUUCCGUAGGUGAACCUGCGGAAGGAUCAUUAAAGAGUUAGGGUCCCUCGCGGCCCGACCUCCCACCCCUUUGUCUACCAAACCAUUUGUUGCUUCGGCGAGCCCGUCCUCACGGGACCGCCGGGGGGCCCUCACCGGCCUCCUGGCCCGCGCUCGUCGGUGGCCCAAACCAAAAAUUCUUUAACUAAACGUGUCUUGACUAAGUACAAAUUUUUAAUUAAAGCAAAACUUUCAACAACGGAUCUCUUGGUUCUG